UGCAGAUGGCCAAUUCGUAUAGGCAAGGUCCCUGCAACUGAUACAAAUGUACUACCUUCUCCUGAUUGAAAGCAGGGAAAGGAAUGACUCCUAUAAAGAAAAUGUAGCACUGAAUCCCAACUCUUGAAAACUGCCAACAAUAUACAAGAGCUGGGAGGAGGCCUUUGGAGUCAACCUGGAAAAAGAAGAAAGGAAUCACGGCACUGGAAGAGAAGGUGGAGGCACUCAGCGAGAAGCCAAGCUGUUAUCGGCAUGGAUGAAGCAUGAGACAGAAUUUCAGCUACUCUAGAAAAAUACACACACGCCGGGGGGAAAGCCGACGGUCGACACACCAGUUACAGGACCCGAUUCCAAGCUCGUCACAAAGGAAGCACCACUCUGUUAAAAUUACACCAAGA